rnacentral:rRNA from 1 species
CAGCCGCCACGGGAAUACCAGCAGCCCAAGUGGUGGUCGCGCUUAUUGGGCCUAAAGCGCUCGUAGCCUGGCCGGUAAGUUCCCCGUGAAAUCGGGUCGCCCAACGAUUCGGCUUGCGGGGAAUACUGUCGGUCUUGGGGCCGGGAGACGCCGAGGGUACUCCGGGGGUAGCGGUGAAAUGCGUAGAGAUGUGGAGGAACACCAGUGGCGAAGGCGACUCUCUGGUCUGUAACUGACGCUGAGGAGCGAAAGCGUGGGGAGCGAACAGGAUUAGAUACCCGCGUAGUCCCUGUCUCUUAUA